UUCUUCCUGAAGGGGUUCCUUGAUUGCUGCUACAAUUGUCUGAGAAUAUGGGACUCUCGCUUCUUCACUCUUCCAAAGAAGACUCUGCCAGUGAUUUCCCAGAAGCCUUCUGUCUCAGACUAGGGUAGCACCAUUGAUCCCUCUUGUUAUGGGGUUCAGCCUCUUGGACUGCGAAGCUACUGGUUCUUCCAGCUCUCCAGCCUGCAGAUGGCCAUUGUGGUCUAUCCAGCUUCUGGUCAUGUCAAUGGUUCCAGUGUCCUCUGUCUCAUCCAGACUGAAGGGAGAAGAAUGAGAAAAUCCUACUCAUUAUUCCCUCCUCCUCUCUCAGCCCUGGUCUCCUUGAAGUAGCUCUAACAGAAAAUCCUCCAAUCUCCCACUUUUCAAGGAACAAUUUCUUCUCCUGUAAGAAUGUUUCAAUAAUUAGCUGAAUUUUGAAUAUUUACAUGAAAUAAAAAAGCAAAACAAAACUAAA